GGUUUAUAUAGUUUAUGGAAAAAUAUUGAAUUGCAAAUUCAAAGAAGCAAUAGUUGCUUAAACUU
rnacentral:tRNA from 1 species